rnacentral:rRNA from 1 species
UACAGAGGCCCCAAGCGUUACUGAGAAUCACUGGGUUUAAAGGGUGCGUAGGUGGCGCGUUAAGUCCGUUGUGAAAGCCCCGGGCUCAACCCAGGAACUGCUUCGGAUACUGGCGCGCUUGAGGCUAGUAGAGGUCACUGCAACUGACGGUGGAGCGGUGAAAUGCGUAGAUAUCGUCAGGAACGCCAAUGGUGAAGACAGGUGACUGGGCUAGUUCUGACACUGAGGCACGAAAGCGUGGGGAGCAAACAGG